rnacentral:rRNA from 1 species
CAGCAGCCGCGGUAAUACCGGCGGCCCGAGUGGCGGUCACUAUUAUUGGGCUUAAAGCGUCCGUAGCCGGGUUGGGAAGUCCUCCGGGAAAUCUGGCCGCUUAACGGUCCGAAUGCCGGAGGAUACUCCCAGCCUAGGGAGCGGGGGAGGCCGAGGGGAUUCCCGGAGGAGGGGUGAAAUCCUAUAAUCCCGGGAGGACCACCUGUGGCGAAGGCGCUCGGCUGGAACGCGUCCGACGGUGAGGGACGAAGGCCAGGGGAGCAAACCGGAUUAGAUACCCGGGUAGUCCUGGCUGUAAACGAUGCGGACUUUGUGUCGGACAAGCUAUGAGCUUGUCCGGUGCCGGAGGGAAACCGUUAAGUCCGCCGCCUGGGGAGUACGGCCGCAAGGCUGAAACUUAAAGGAAUUGGCGGG